AUGUUCCGCCAUUCCUCGUCGGCGCCUUCGUACGGCGACGCCUACAUGCAGGAGGCCCUGCCCGCAGUGCCGACCCUGAUCCCUCGCUCUGCCGCCGGGGGAUACUUCGACGGUGGCAAUGUCGGUGGAGUGUUCCCUCCCUUCGCCGCCGCCUCGUCUCCGCCGUCAUCCUACUCCUCGUCGUACUACAACAUCCAUCGCAGCAUCAGCGCGCACUCGCUGCCGCUCCCGCUCCACAUCCAGCUCGGCGACAACUUCAACGGCGGCGGCGCAUUCUUCUCGUCCUCGUCCCCGUCCCCUCACCAGCAGCUGUCUUUGCCGCCCAUGUCCUCCUCCCCGUCCUCCUCCUGCGGCGAUCUGUAUGAUUUCAGCAGCUCCGCAUGCACAGUCCGCCGCGUCUUCAGCACCGGCGAUCUCCAGGGGAUGAACGGGUCAUCGCCGGUGCCGUCAGGCGACGGCUGCGGCCAAGACGCCGGAGGAGGCCCGUUCUCGCAGAAGGUCGGGCGAUACAGCGCUGAAGAGCGCAAGGAGCGGGUAGAGAGAUAUCGCUUAAAACGCCACCAGAGGAACUUCACCAAAAAAAUCACCUACGCGUGCAGGAAGUCGCUGGCCGACAGCCGGCCGAGGGUGAAGGGCCGGUUCGCGAGGAACGGCGAGGCGGAGGCGGAGACCGACGACCGGGAGGCGUCCGAUAACAGCUAUGACUAUUGCGGCUACAGCGAGCCCAGCAACCAGAGCACCGGGAACAGCCGCUACCACGGCCAGCAGCAUAUCAAGGACGACAGAGUCUGCAACGGUGCCGCCGCAGCAGCGUUCGCUGGAGUCAGCGACAAUGGCGACUGGUGGUGGCGGGCUCCGGGGGCGGAGGGGCCGCGGCAGGUCGGCUUCGACGUCGACGAGGAGCUGUGGGCCACCCUGGGCGACAUGCUGUCCGUGAACCUGGCGUCGUAG
rnacentral:rRNA from 1 species